rnacentral:rRNA from 1 species
UGGGGAAUCUUCCGCAAUGGACGAAAGUCUGACGGAGCAACGCCGCGCGAGUGAAGACGGCCUUCGGGUUGUAAAGCUCUGUGUUCCGGGACGAAAGAGCCUGAGGUAAAUAGCCUAAGGAAGUGACGGUACCGGAAAAGCAAGCCACGGCUAACUACGUGCCAGCAGCCGCGGUAAUACGUAGGUGGCACGCGUUGUCCGGAAUUGUUGGGCGUAAAGCGCGCGCAGGCGGCUUCCGAAGUCCAUCUUAAAAGUGCGGGGCUUAACCCCGUGAUGGGCUGGAAAGUGGGAAGCUGGGAUAUCGGAGAGGAGAGAGGAAUUCCUGGUGUAGCGGUGAAAUGCGUAGAAAUUAGGAAAAACACCGGUGGCGAAGGCGACUUUCUGGAAGAAGACUGACGCUGAAGCGCGAAAGCGUGGGGAGCAAACAGG